rfam:Triticum urartu cultivar G1812 contig537633, whole genome shotgun sequence.
AUCAUACUCCCUCUGUCCAGAAUUACUUGUCGUGAAAAUGAAUAAAAGUGGAUGUAUUUAGAACUAAAAUGCGUCUAAAUACAUCCAUUUCUAUGACAAGUAUUUCAGGACGGAGAGAGUACAUA